UCUAGCGUUCAACAUCAACUUAUUUCUGGUGAGGAUCACUCCCGCGUCAGAGUAAUCCUAGUCUUUGGCACAACCAAGAACAUACCUUCGGCAGCUAUGAACUACUAGCAACCGCGCUUCAGUUCUUGUUCGGCAUUCGAGGCAACAAGCAACAAUUUCGGAAUUCAUCAUGUGAGGAAUAAGUGCAGUGAAAAAUAAAUCCAAAAACAACACAAAUUCAAACCCCCAUCCUAAGGAUGUAAAAGCAAAAACAGCAAGCAAAUUCUGUGAAACAAACCAAAAGUGCCUUCAAAAUCAGCAAGAAAAAAAAUCUGGAAUUAUUGGCGAAAAAAACAAAAAAAAAGUGCUAAAAACACCGGGAUCGAUCGGAUCGGAUCCCGGGGUGAAUUUGAACAAACAUUGCUAAAACAAACUCAAAAUUAGACAGUGUUUAGUGGAAAUAACCAAAACUCAAGUGGAAACAGUGAAAACAAAUUAAAACAAACUGAAAUAUUUUGAGGUUGAACCAAUCAUCGAAUAUGAAGACAGAGGGAUUUGAUCGAACUCGUCGCGACAGCAGCGCUCCAAUAUGGCGACAACGACCCACCCCCAAGAGAACGCUUCACAUCAAAUAGUCACCACCAUGUCGGAGUGAUGUCUGUAGCACUCGCAAAACUCGCAGCAUACAGCCAAGUCAAACUAAACUGGACCCAGUGUCAAAAAACAAUCGAAACUAAAAAUGAUUAUUACAAUAUUUAGUGGUAUUUCGGAGCGCCAUCUUCAAGUCACAAACCAAAACUAAAGCGAAAGCUCCGGCGAGCUUUCGAUGAAUCCGGACAAACUUCCCGAAAAAAAGCACACCGAUUUACAAUGGAAAACAUUCAAAUCGACUCCCACACACACACCCCCAACUCAAAGAAUGCUUAUUGCGAAUGCAAACGGGGGCAUGCAAAAGCCCCAGCAAAUCGAGCAAAAGCCCCGCACGUCGUCCAACACGUGUAGCCCUUAGAGAGAAAACAAUUUAAUUAAGGACCCGCCAAAGCCCGCACACGCCCGGUGGCGGUGCAAGCCAAUGCAAAAGAAUAAAAUAUUGAUACGCCAUCUUGUCCUUCGCAGCAAACCAAAACACUUUGGAAAUCAUCGACGACGUUUUCCCACGUGGCCAACAGGGAGGCCACUCGUGCACACACGUGUGAGGGACACGAAAUGCCACGAGGCAAUCGGGUUGGCGAAAAGGGGAGCUUAUUUGGACAACUAAAACAAAACUUGAAAUCAACACAAACAAAAGCAAAGCUCAAAACGUCACAUCAAAAAUAUAUGGAAAAUCAGGGGAAAGCCACGAACGAUUUUGGCGGAAAUAAACGGGGAAAAUUCGGCGCACACACACACACGCAUUUGGCUGAAGGAGAAAUUGUAAGGGGAAAAUGUCGUGCCCAUGUAAAAGGGCACACAGUUCGGCUCGAAUCACUCACACGUUGACAGCUCGUGUGCCUGGUGUGUGGCACCAAUACAAACGCACAUCGGCUUCCCCUCAUCAGAUUCGGAAAGUUUUUUUCCCUCCGGCGACCAUCAAAAGAAAAACCAAAAGUCUCAACGUAAAAGUUUAAUUCACCACGAGGCCAGCAAAACACACACACAUUAUCACACAAAUCAACGAAACAAAAGCAGAGAAAAAGCUCUCCAGGUGAAAGCUCAUCGCAGCAACCGACGCCGCCGCGGCAUUCUUCGUCGUCUUCUUUGUCGUCGUCGUCCACCGAGGAAUGGAAGAAGCUUUCCACCGAGCGAAAGCUUCCAGAGAAGUAUAAACCUACUGAGAUCUAUAAGUUUCUUAUUGCGAUCGAUGUUUUAUUGGUUUUUUGUUGCACCACUAAAACAGACAGAUCAUUAUCACACACACAUAUAAAUACAUAAACUUACACACGUACACACACAAGUACACAUAAAAACCUCAAACGUAUGCAUCGCUCCAAUUUUCGUUCCAUUUUGCGAUAAGUAUUUAAUCCUAAGUUUUUUAGUGUUUCUUAUACUUUCUUUUAAUUAUUUUUCUCACACACGCACACUACUUUGUGUUAAAUUCUUGUGCUAGUUUUUAGUAGUCACACCACAACCAAACAAUAGCUAGGAUAAAUAUUACUUCGUUUCGUUCCACUUAGAUUUAUAUACUCUACUUUACACGAAUCAACUUUUGAAAACCAUGCACAGGAUGAUAACAUAAAUGUCAGAGCAGACAAUAGUAAACAAUAACUGGACUGUUUUGUUUAUUAUUUUGUAACACACAAACAAGCGAAUGAUUUUUACAGGGAAGAACAAAAUUAUUGGAUUCAAGCAAAAUGCAAAAGAAGAAAACGGUUAAACCCAUUUUGGAUUGUUAGAUAAACUAUUAAGUUUGAUUAGAAAACCGGCAAAAAGAAACCUUUCAAAAGAACGUAAAUUGUUAUUUAAAAAUGUGAUAUUUUGGAAGGCCACCAAACCAAAUCAAACCAAACAUGACAAUACGCACAACAUCAACAAAAAAAAACAAAUCACGAAAAUAAGCAACAGCUUUAUGACAGAAAUUAUUUUCAUUGUCGUUAAACCAAAAAAAACUAAAACACACGCAAAAUGACCCACAAUCAGCGCUGAUUUGGCGUAACGCACUAGAGAAAAAAAACAAAUGGGAUUGUUUAGUUGAUACGUGAAAACCGAUCCAGUUGUUCAUAGGCAAAUUAGGAAACUUUUUAGCAAAAUGUUUAUGUAUUUGUUAAAAACUGCAAAAGAUUUUAUUUAUAUUCGAAAAAAAAUACGACAAACAUAUCUACUCACCAUUUGAAGCGAAAAACACGGCACCAAAAACGAUAAAAGCGAAGAAAAACGUUGAUUUAAACAACCAAAUUGCCACACUUCCGACCGCAAAAAAAGAAAAUCAACGAAAUUGUUAAUUUUUCAAGCGAAAAUUGCUGCAAACAAGAUAGCAAAACCAAAGCUGGAUUCAAAAACAAGGUAAAAUCCAAAACAAAAUCAAACACAAAUGAAACCGGAAAAAACGAUUGUUAACUCAUUGAGAUUGUUACACGAAACGUUUCUAUAUUUUGAAAUAGGCUCUAAUCAAGUCGCAAAUAAUGACAAUAAUUUCUGUAAUAAAAUCAAACCACGAUGAGAGAAUCCACACGAAUUCAAUAAUUUUGCUACACAAGAACAUUUUUUUUUCUUUUUUUUUUUUCUUUACUUAUUACGCACUCACACCUCAUACACUAACGUGUAUAACACAACCAACAGAUUUUCUACCAAGUAACACUUCAAAUUCUUAUGUUAGACAGUUGACCACAGCAAAUACUGCUUACGUUUUUUUUUUCACGAACAAAUUUCGAAACUUCACACACAACGCAAAAGAGAAAGUGGCACGUUGAGCUGCUGGAAAAAUCUCCACUCAAAAAUAAUCCAAAAAAUUACAACUUGACCAUGUUAGAAAACCUAAAACGACUCAAAACCAAACUCGUUGAAUAAUAUUAAUAUGAAAAACUUUUAUUUACUUUAUUUUCCAAACAGGAAUGGUCUGAAAGAUGAGACGGGAAAUGUAGGAUCGAAAAUGUGCUCGAUUUCCGUUGCGCUACCGAGAGAAGGUCUGCGAAUAAGGGUCACCCUAUUUCGAACAGAAAUUGAAAGAUUUUGGCUAGGGUUUCAAAAUAAAGCGAUCAGCAUAUUUUUUAUUAUUUUUUUUAAAAACAAGUGCGUCUAUGAUUUUUUCCAACAAAAAUUGGUCUUGCAGGACGAAAAUUUCGAAUCGAAUUAAAAACAACUCAAAAUAUCUCCUCUUCCGCGGUUAUGGAAAAGGAAGAACAUUUUGAAGCUUGAAAAAGGCAAUAAAAAUCUCAAAAUCCAAAGGGCUCUUCAAUCCUGGCUGGAAAGAUUUAAGUGUUGAUCCUGGUGCUGUCCCCAAAGGGAAGAACCCAUCCCGGCCGUGGGUUAGCUUAAGGUGAGGCGGUGGCCAGUCUUCCUCGCCGGACAGUGCCUCGGGAUUAGUAUAAAAAUUCAUUUAGCUCCUUCCCGGGCCAGUUCGAAGAACCUUGCCCAAAGCACUCUCUCCCCGGCAAGAAGCUGAAUUUCGGCCUCUAUCAAAAACUAAUUAUCGGGCCCGUCCCGGAACAUUCCAUUCUGCAAAACCGCGAAAAGAUUACAGUAUUCGAUCUCGGCGCAAAAAAAGGAACGGUUCGGAAAACUAGUUCUGGCAAGACGUUUAAUUUCGACAGAAUAAAUUAUUAAUUUUGCGGUUCGAGUGCCGAUGGGGAAUUACCCUUGGGGGGAGAACCAUAAAACGAUUGAAAAUUCCUAAAAUUCCUUCCCCCGUGAAGGACUUUUCCCGAUUGGAGAGAAGAUAUUGGCUGUGAUAAAGAUAUAUUCUUAUAAAAAAGAACAAAAUUUACUUUUUGUUUGCUUCCAAAAAUCAAAAGCACGCUGACACUAUCAAAAAAACAUCAUCAAAUUUUACCCAAAAAUAAUAACAAAAAUAUCUCAAGGAAAAACGACCACCAAAACAACGCACAUAUCUAUAAUCCAGACAAGCAAAAGCCACGUGCUCGGCAAAAUUGAACGCUCCAGCGAUUCUGAAUCGACCCUCAUGGCCAACGUAAUCCAGCGUCUUGAAAUUUAUGGCCUUUUCACCGACUCAGUCGUAGUCGUCGUCGUCUUUUGCGCCUCAAAUACACGGACUCACCACCCCUCGACGUUAUGUUUUUAGUUUUGCGGCAAAACAAGGGCAACCAUUUUGCCCCGGGAAAUUUUUUAUCACGACAGGCGAUCCAAAAUCUACCUUCUUGAGUGCGAGUUUUGGCAGAAAUGAGCUGGGACAGGAGCCGAUUUUUAAAAGCAAGCUAAAAUAGACUAAAUUUUACAUUUUCAAUAAAAUUUGUCAAGCGAAAAGGGUAAACACACAUUUUACGUUAAAUUUCAAACUGGAGAUUCAAAAAUGACGUUCAGAACAAAAAACACAAUUUUAUUUUUCAAUCGAUCAAAACUCGGCAACGGCUCCGUCCCGCAGGUACCAUUUGGGCAAAAUCUUGAGUUCUCAAAUUAUACCAAUUUGCAUAAAAAUAAAUUUCAAUUUUGUCCUUUGUUAAAAAUAGCAAAAAUCAACCAAAAAUUACGCGAAAGCUCGACGACGACAUUUCAAACAAAUUCAAAAUCAGUCAAAACCAUAACCAAAAAACGUUAGUGACAGUGUUGCCAGCUGACCCUCAACACCACGCAAGUGACAGCCAGCAGCAGCCAUGUUUGCUCCAAUUUUGAUUCUGACCAAAAAGAAACUGUGAUGAAAACCCAUUUCAAAUGGGGAAAAACCAAACAAAAGCAAAAACAACAUACAAGAGAAGCCAAACCAAAAAAUAAAUAGCACACUCAAAAACGACAUGCUGAGCAAGGUUGUCAAAUUGUGGAGGUGCAGCGACGGCUGGCAGCACUGCUCGCGCAGCUGUCAAAAGAUCAAAGUGUUCAAAUUAAAGGUGCGCAGCGUGCUCGUCGUUCAGAACCACCGAAACCACACAUUUCGUAAGUGAACUUUCGCAAUACUUUCCCACAAGGGCGACACGAAACCAUUGGCGCUGGGGAAUCAAAUUUUCACUAUUAAUUUAAAGUAUUUCGUUAAUUAACAACCUUUCGGAGGAGGACGAACCUGUGGUAAGCUGAAAGGUUCGGCCUCGGAAGAAGGACCUUCCAAAGUACAUUUCCUUGAUAGCAUUUCGCACACAAAUACACACACAUACACACACACACGGACUCGGUCACAAGUUCAUGUAAUCACAGUUUGGUGUCUCAUCAGCUAAAUUUCCUUUCGCAAAUUAUUUUUCAUUUUCCGGAAGCGUCACAAAAACAACAAGAAGAAAAUUCUCAAACCACCCCACUCAAAAAAAUGGCAUCGUCCGGGGCCAGGGUACGGAAAAAGAUAGCUCCCCCAUUCCAAUCCCGGGCAAGGACAUGAAAAGCCAAGUGUUUCUACUUUAAAAUUUAUCAUUUAUAACAACUUUCUUCAAAGUUCGUGCCCCCUCUACUCGACUUGUCGCUCACUUUUCUCCGGUCUCAUCGUAAUUGACUGAAAUUAUAUUUUCUACCACCGGGACAUCUCUUGCCUUCAUUUCCGGCCUCACGAAAUUUACAAGCACGGCAACAACAACGACCAAGAAGUCAUAAAUUCAAAAAGUUUUCUCGGCAUUUUUUGUUUGCCAUCCCCCCAAAGUAAAGAGGUAAAAAAGAAAAUUUCUUUCGUUUUUCGCACACGUAAAAUCAAAACCAAUCAUUAUCAGGUGAAAAAUCCCGCAAGAGAUGUGUCCGCCAUUUUGGAAAUUCUAGCCUUAAUUUUUUCGACGAUUUUGCUCGUCUCGGCCUCGAUUAGGUUGUGUCCACUGAAGGGAAAUUUUUUUAGCAAAAAAAAUGCAUCAAAACAGGUUUUCUGUUAACAUCCGGUGUUGAUUUGGUUCGUCCACUGCACUGAAAUUCCAAAAAGUGUCGCCGCCCUCGUACGCACGAACUUUGAGAAGGUCAUUUAAAUUUUGUUUUCUGGGCCA
rnacentral:lncRNA from 1 species